ensembl:lncRNA
GUCAUUUGUUUAUUUUGCACAAGUGAUGUCAUAAGCAAGGAUUUUGCCUGUGUUCUAGUUUUUCUCCAAUAAAUAAAUAACUAUGUACAAAUAUAUUGAGUUUACAAAAUAGAAGAGGAAAACCUUUGUCUUACAAAAGAUACAUUUCUAUGAUACAUUUAUUUCCAUAUACUGAAGCAGGAUUUCAUUCCUGGCUUAGUUGAACCAAAGACCUUGCAGAUCCUGUGUGGCAGUGUCUAGAGCUGUGUGCCUAGUCUUUUCUACCAAAGAGCAAAGCUACACAAUGAAAAUUCCUCAGUUUCUUGACAAUAAGGGCCUGACUUGGCCUGCUACUUAUAACUGAUCCAUAUUUAAUGUGUUCCAGAAAAAUUGGAAGCAGUCUGGAACAGUUGUCCUCAAAUUACUGAGCAGACACACCCCCUGCUGAUCUUGUUAAAUAUAGAUUCUCAUGAACUAGAUGGGGUGGAGCCUAGGAUUCUGCAUUUCUAACCAGCUCCCAUGGGCAGCUUCCAAUUCUUGCUCAGGGGCCACAUUCCAAAAGGCCUCUCUGAAAUGGUAGAAAUUCUCUGAGGACCUGAUUAAGGCUAGGCCCUAAUUGGGCAUCCUCCAGUAUCUAUUCCCAAGCUCCCAAUUCCACGAGACCAGUAGAGCUGGUUUUAUUUUGGUCUACCAGUGACAAGAACAGUGAGAGUCAAUUGCUAAUUGGCAUGAAUCUUGCAGUUCAAAACUUUCUUAAAUUGUUUCCUGGGAGGUGCUUAUCUCUUCUCUCAAUCUAGAGCAAUCUUCUCAACAUUUUCAACACUGUCAAAAACAAGUAAUAACAACAAAAAAGGAAACUGCAUAAGAAGAUUAGCAACAAUUACCAUUUUUCAGUACAAAUCAAAACAGCAACAAAAUUCAGGCUCACUGUUUAAAAAUAAAGAUUAAAAACCUCUUUGGGUGUAAUUUCUACGACAGUCCAGCAACAUCAAUUUAAUACCUGUUACAUCUCAACGUUUGUUUAAAAUUAUUUCGCUCUGGGAACCUGAAAUUUCAGGAUAAAUUAGCAAAUCUGGUGAAAAAGCAAAUGACCAUUUUUACUUUUAGUGUUUUUGUUUCUGUUUCACAUAGGCGUUCUGUCUGAGCAGAUAGCUAAGAGCAAAAGAAGUAGGGUCAGGCACAGGUAGGGUGACUCAAGUGAGUUGGCCCAGUUCCUGGGCUGAGAAAACUAGGAAGAAUGGGGAAUAAAUGGGGCUUGCUUCAUAAAUGUGAGAGGGCUAGGAAAAAAACAAAUUCACCAAGAUAGUUUAGCUGUCACAUGACAAGUGGGAGUCUGGAGAGAGAGAGAGAGAGACCGGAGAGCCGUGCAAAGUGGAUACUGGAGACAUACAGGUAGGAACAAAGGAUACAAACAAAAACCUAGAUACUUAAAAAAAUAAAUAAAUAUUUUGGUCAUCCCUAGCCCACGAGGUCAAGGUCUGCCCAAAAGGCUCUCGACCAAUAACGCUCCCCCUCCUGCGCCCAGUGAUGAGGACCUGGGACACAUCGCAGUCUGUGUCUUCGUUGCAAAAUUGCCAUCUCUGCCCAGUGGUCCAGUGACGUCAAGGAAGAGGCCGAGGCUCAUUCUCCUCUCUCUAAUCACUCCCUCCCCAGUUAGCCAUGGAAUCGAAGAAAACAGCUUGGGGGUGCGAGGAGGGUCUUCUCCAGCUGUAAUGCCAACUAAGGUGCUUUGGGUAGCAAAGCUGGGGGUGAGGAGGCCCAGGAGGGAGAGAAAGGCCACGCCAAAGCCGGGCUCCUGGACGGAGGCCGCUCAGAGUCUCUGCGGCUUCCGCUCGGUCCGCACGGACUGCAGCACUACCUCCUUGGAAGGGGCCGCGCACUUGUACUCCAUCUUGGCCCUGGCGGCGCCCUGCUUCUUGCGCAGGUGGCAGAGGAGCGCCAAAAGCGCCACCACCAGGCACAGGCUCGCGAUGGAAAUGCCUAUGAGCACGCCCGAAUGCACGCGCCCCACGGCCGGGGGACUCGAGGUGCAGCCGGGCGUCGGGCCUCGGGGGGGCUCCCCAGAGCCGUCGUCACCACCAUCCACCUCGGCGGAGUCACAGUCUUUGCCAAUCAGGCGGACACGGGCCGAGUCGGGCCCGCAGAUGCACUCGAAGGUACCGGGGAGAUUGAGGCACACCCCAGAGCAGUAGCCGCCGUUUUCACACUCGUCGAUGUCCGAGCACAUGAAACCGUCGUCCAGGAUGUAGCCGUCAGGGCACUCACAGUUACCCCGGGUGUUGGGGUCGCAGUCGGCUGGACAGGCAGUCUGGUUGCAAAACAUCUGACACCUGUGCGGCUCGUGGGGAAUGGGCGCGAAGCCCUCCGCGCAGACGCAGAGGUAGCUUGUUUGGUUCAAGGGCUGGCACUGGUACUCGCAGUUGGCUUUGAAGCACGGGUCCACGGGCUCCACACAAUCGCCGUCCACCAGGUCGUAGCCAGGUUUGCAGUGGCACUCGAAGCCACCCUGUUUGUUGACACAGCGCUGUGGGCACGGACUGGGCACCAGCAAGCAGUCAUCCACGUCCUCGCACCGGUGUUGGUCGGCCGCCAGCCGGUAGCCCGUCUCGCACAUGCACGAGUAGGAGUCCGGCUUGUCCGGGUUGGGAACGCAGAAGUGCUCACAGAGGUUGUUGCAGGAGUGCGUGCAGGAGCGGCCGUCUGCCUGCAGGGCGGCGCCGGCUGGGCACAGGCAGCGGGGAGCCCCUGCGAUCGUACUGCACGCGUGCUCGCAGCCGCCGUUCUCCACGCUGCAGUCCCAAGCGCCCGGCGCCUCCUAGCCCAGUGCCCCUGGACCGCUUUGGGCGGCGCGGCGCACAUCAGCUCUAAGCCGAGGGGCGCCACCGCGGCGGAGCUGCCCACCGGCAGCGCCUGGAAGUCCGCUCCGCGGGCCGCAAACGGGGUGCCGUAGGUGAUGGAGACAGCAGCAGUCGCGGCGCCGGGCUUCACAGCCAGGGGCCUGCAGGUAGCUGGGAAGUAGAACUCGCAGAGGAAGCCAUCGGCCUUCACAUCGCACUGCUGCUCCUCCCAGACCGGCUCGCCGGGCGCAGUGGCCCCAGCAGCGGAGACAGCGACGCACAACGGGCCGCAGGGGGGAGCCCCAUUGAGGUCGAGCCGCGCCCACCUGCUGUAGCUGGUGUUGUUGUCUCGCGUAACCCACUCGAAACCGCGCAGGGGCCCGAGGGGCUUGGGGUCGCCGCAGCCGGGUGGCAGCUGAAGGCCGAUCCAGAGGCGCCGGCUAACGCCGCGGUCGCCGCUCAGUAGCAAUGAAAUGACAUCGGCAGCCACUGAGGAGCGCACUGUCAUUAGGUGGCCCCGCAGUCUAUUGCAGAUCUGACUGGCAUCGAGGAAAGUCGCGGGGCCCGGGUAGAGCGCGAAGCAGUCGUGCUCCACGCACUGGCUGCCACCGGGCUGCGGUUCUACGGGUGCGGGGAACCCCGGGCCGGCCAGGGUCAGCACGCCAAGGAGCAGGACCCCGAGCAUGUUACCCAGGCGCACAGCGUGCAGGCGCCGAGGAAAGCGCUGGCACUGAGACUGGGCCGUGCCGGAGCAGAGGAGCGCAGGACGCGGAUGACGACAGCCGCUCCUGUCCAUCAGCCCAGACACUUCUAGCCGCGGCGCGCAGCCCCUGCGAGGCAGCCUCUGACAU